UACAGAGUGUGCGAGCGGUGUCCGGAAUCACGGGGCGUAAAGGGCGCGUAGGUGGCCCGACCAGUCCGUGGUGAAAGCUCGACGCUCAACGUCGAGUCGGCCAUGGAUACUGUUGGGCUGGAGCACUGUAGAGGCUCAUGGAAUUCCGGGUGUAGCGGUGGAAUGCGUAGAGAUCCGGAAGAACCCCGGUGGCGAAGGCGGUGAGGUGGGCAGUUGCUGACACUGAGGCGCGACAGCGUGGGGAGCAAACAGG
rnacentral:rRNA from 1 species